rnacentral:lncRNA from 1 species
CCGCUGUGCCAGUGUCCGCUGCCGGGGGAUUGGGGGGCCCCGGGCCCGGUGUGGGGGGGUCUCAGCCAUCGGGUUCCUGGCUCCGGCCCCGGCCGCCAUUUUGUGACGGAGUACAGAGCUCGGGCCCCUGGGAGCCCAUGUGACUGGCCCUCGGCUGGGAGAGGAGCUGCCCCCGGCCCCGGUAUAGAGGGCUGGGGGCGGGGAGACUGCUCCCUGCUCAGGUGGGUACCCUGACUGUCCUACUUACUGUAUGGGGCCCCUGGGGGCCACUGACUGUCCUACUUACUGUAUGGGGCCCCUGGGGGCCACUGACUGUCCUGCUUACUGUAUGGGGCCCCUGGGGGCCACUGACUGUCCUGCUUACUGUAUGGGGCCCCUGGGGGCCACUGACUGUCCUACUUACUGUAUGGGGCCCCUGGGGGCCACUGACUGUCCUACUUACUGUAUGGGGCCACUGACUGUCCUACUUACUGUAUGGGGGCCCCUGACUGUCCUACUUACUGUAUGGGGGCCACCGACUGUCCUACUUACUGUAUGGGGGCCACUGACUGUCCUACUUACUGUAUGGGGCCCCUGGGGGCGACAGACUGUCCUACUUACUAUAUGGGGCCCCUGGGGGCCACUGUCCUACUUACUGUAUGGGCCCCCUGGGGGCCACUGACUGUCCUACUUACUGUAUGAGGCCCCUGACUGUCCUACUUACUGUAUGGGGCCACUGGUGGCCCCUUACUGUCCUACUUACUGUAUGAGACCCCUGGCUGCCCCUAACUGUCCUUACUGUAUGGGGCCCCUGACUGUCCCACUUACUGUAUGAGACAGCUGGGGGCCCCUGACUGUCCCACUUACUGUAUGAGACAGCUGGGGGCCCCUGACUGUCCCACUUACUGUAUGAGACAGCUGGGGGCCCCUGACUGUCCCACUUACAGUAUGAGACAGCUGGGGGCCCCUGACUGUCCCACUUACUGUAUGAGACUGCUGGGGGCCCCUGACUGUCCUACUUACUGUAUGAGACCACUGGGGGGGCCCUGACUGUCCUACAUAUUGUAUGAGAUACUUGGGGGCCCAUGACUGUUCUACUUACUGUAUGAGAUACCUGGGGAGCCCCUGCCUGUCUUACUUACCGUAUGACAUACCUGGCGGGGCCCUGACUGUCCUACUUACCGUAUGAGAUACCUGGGGAGCCCCUUAGUGUCCUACUUACCGUAUGAGAUACCUGGGGAGCCCUUAGUGUCCUACUUACCGUAUGAGAUACCUGGGGAGCCCCUUAGUGUCUGUAUGAGAUACCUGGCGGGGCCCUGACUGUCCUACUUACUGUAUGAGAUACCUGGGGAGCCCCUUUGUGUCCUACUUACUAUAUGAGAGACCUGGCGGGCCCUGACUGUCCUACUUAGCACAUGAGGUACCUAGGGGUGACCUGACUGUCCUAUUUACUGUAUAAAACCACUGGGAGCCCCCUGAUUGUCCUACGUACUGUAUGAAACCCAUGAGGGUCCUCUACUGUCUUACUGUAUGAGGUACCUGGGGGCCCCUGAUUGUACUACUUACCAUAUGAGGUACUUGGGGGCCCCCCUGACUGUCCUACUUACUGUAUAAAACCCCUGGGGGGCCUCUGACUGUCCUACUUACUGUAUAAAACCCCUGGGGGGCCUCUGACUGUCCUACUUACUGUUUGAAACUCUCUGAGGCCCAUGAUUGAUCAUACUCCUUGCAUAUAACCAGUUGAGCGGCCCUGAAUGGCCUUAUUCACUGUAUAAACCUCCUAGGGGCCCCAAUUAAUUAUUCUCCUCAUUCUUACUGUAGUAUACCCCUAGGACCACAGACCACUGGGGCCCCUGAUUGGCCAUAUACACUAUAUUAGACUUUGAGGUUUCUAUUUAAGCUUUACUCUCCGUAUAGUACCCUUAGGAGCACAACAUCUGUACCCCAUAGAGCACUCCAUCAAAUUAUCUCUCACACCACACCGUGCACACCUUAGUUAAUCUUGCCCACUGCACUCUCUUACCAUUUUAGCUGUAUCUCCUCCCAGCAUUCCUGGUUACAUCAGCUGUACCUCUCUGUGCUCCCACAUUCAGUGAUGGCUAAGGGUAAUCGAUACCUACUAAUCUGAAGUCAUGCACAUGUCCCUGCAUUUUGCCCAUGUUGCACAGCAUCAUCUUCUUAUCGCUGAACCUCCUGACUUGGUGUCAUCAUGCCAGGGACCUCAUAUCUGCUGCCCAUUAACACCCUGGAUCCUACACUUUGUGUCCCCCUAGUUUGGCAAUAUUACCAUGUCCCAAACCUUACCAAGGCAGGAGCUGAUUGGGCAUCAUGAGAUAUCUAGCUCAAAACCUCUGUGGUCCAGAGGUCAGAAUUGCUGCAAUACACAGCAUGUAACUAUUUGUAUAUGCUGUGUAUAAGAUCUGCCCUACCACCUAUGUGUCAAAUCCGUACAUUGCAGAUCAGCUCAACGGCCACAAAUAACACAAACUAUCGUAAAGAAUACAAAUUUCAUCAUUGCUUUUAAUGAGUGAGCAAUGUCCCUUCUAAGAAUUAUGUUUAGCCAAACAAGUUUUUGAGAGCUCUGCACACCCCAUCCCUUUACUGCUUGCCUGCUUUGCUAUGUCUGUUUGACAGUGUGGGUUGCUAACUGGAUUACAUUAGACUAAUGGCAGCAUAGGACGUGCUAGUCUUUUGGAAGCUCAAAAUCCCCCACAAUUCAGGAUUAUUUACUAAACACAAAACAUAACAAAUUGAAAUCUGAAUAACAAAAUUGAGGCUCAAAUAGCCAAGCUUUGAAUUUAGCUGAAUUGGAGAAUUUUUCAACAUUAUAUUUUUGUGUAUGUUUCAAUUCGCUACAUUUACAUUUAGCGUAUAAAGACAAUUUACUUUUUUUUUGUAUAUCUGUGUCACUAAUAAGUCUUAAUGUCCUGUAGGGAUGCUGUGUGUUUAAAGUUAUUUUCAAGAAACAAACAGGACAUUUUUACCGCUACAUGGGUGAAGGGAGCGAGGACCUAUAUUCGCAGUACUUUUAUGGUGUUGACGGGUGCUUUUGAAGAGCUAGUAUGAUUAGCCUGUUUCUAUUGUUUGAUCUCGGAUUAUUUAGCAAUAUCACCCACCCAGCCACUAGUUACUUGUUACCGGUUUUCCACACAUUGGUACAGAGUGAGCGUUUGUUUAUAGAGUAACAAUAAAUUAAUGUUUUGAAGUGUUUAUUGACCACAUCAUGAAUGUGUCUGUUCAUUUCUCUGAUUUUGUAUUUAUAUAGAUCCCAACGUGCUCCAUACAUUGUCAUUUAUUUUACAUUUACAGGUACAUUACAUGGACUUAAUAUCCAGUUUUGAGUUCUUGCUUUGGAUUAGUCCUGUACCUUCAGAUCUCUGGAAUUGAUUAAUUCCGAGAGUCCUGUGUUUAUUACCUGCUGGAGGGAUCAGUUUAUUGUACUGCGUGUUUGUGAAGUUUGAGUGCACUGCUGUUUUUACUUAUCAAAGUGCUGUGUUUGAAUGCUGAAACAUGUUAUUUUUGAGUUGUGCAGUGCUUCCUCUUUCUGUGGGAGAGUUAAUAAAAAGAAACAUUUCAUGCAUGCAGUGUGAUUGCAAAAAAGAACAAUCGUGCAGAUAUUUCAACAUAGCCCAGAUUUCAUCCAAACAUGAGGUUUAGUGUAGUUGCAGUGUUUCCUAUGAGGUCAGUAAAAUGCUUCAAGCAUGAAAUAGUAAUGCAUUGAAACAUUACGAUUAAUUAAUAUGUAGAGUCGCACAGCAUUUAUGGUAAACCUGUUGUGCAUAGUAUUGUCGUACAGCCCCUUGUUACCUGAUAUCUCUCUGUCUAUCUCACUUGCCAAUUAUUUGCUGACAGUCUAUGUUAAUCCAUUCCAGAGAGACUUCCAUAGUCUACUUUCUGUCAGGAUAUUCUUUGUGUCUGUUCUCUAGAAUAAAACCUUAUUAGGUAAACGUGUUCCCUUCCAAUACAGAACCAACAUAGAUGGUUGGUUUAACAUACUGUUCUUCCUCUUGUUAUCCUGUGCGACACCUUUGCGGCAUUGUUUAGGGUGUUUUAGGCUGUCUCGGAAUCCACCGACCGGUUUUUCUGCCUCAGUCAGAGUCUGUGGUGUUUAAAUUGCCAACUGUACAGAUGUGAAAUCCGAAUAUUGGGGCAAACGGUUUAUUUGAAGAAAUUCUUGCGUUGGUUGCGGCCUGACUAUUUUUGCUUUAAUCUAACACUUGAAACACCAUAACCACUACAGUUGACUUGGCAUAUUCCUUUGUGGGAUUUCUUUUACAACUUGCUACAAUGAAUACUCCUUUUUUUUUUUUUUUUUUGCCAAACCAGGGUGAAAGUUCAACCUUUUUUUUGUUUUUUUAUAAGUUACAUUGUCAUUACAUACCUACUAUAUGCCCUAAAAUCAGUUAUUUAAGAAACCCCUAAAGCAUUUCAAAUUACUGAAAUGGUUCACGGGUUAACUGAGUGUCCCCUCUUUCUUACUUUGUCAAAGUGCUAAUUUCUAUUGAAAACGGUAAUUUUAUAAAUCUCUUUUGUUUUGCUCUACCGGCUGUCAAACUGCCAGGAGAAUUGUCUUCCUCACUUACCUUGAGUAGUUGGUAUUUAUUUUUACCCCAGGAAUGUUCCUUUUAGUCAGUUCACAUUAGUUGGAGUCUUUUUGAAGGAUUACUUUAUAUGCUUAAGUAUGCCUCAAUAUUUCUAUGACAAAUAAAGACAUUUUUAAAAUAUCUUUCUGCCUGUGGGUUUGUCCCUGAACAGCAUGAAAAUUGGGGAUCAUCAUAGCAUUUGUAGUUUCAAUGCGACUGGUGAGCUGCUUCUAUUUUCCCAGAUCACUGCAAAAACUACUAAUACACCAUAAGUGACAAUACAGCUGUAGGGACCAACUAUUACAUUACUGUCACCCCAGCUUCUAAAGUCGUUGUUUCAUCACACAGCGGCCGUUUAUUAAACAUUAAUAAGUGUCCACUACGAAUUUAGAAUGUUCUCUUUCAAGAACAAUUUAUGAUGGCCCUUUAGGGGAUAUAUGAGUAGCCUCUUCUAUGAUCAGAACCCUUUUAAAAUGAUCCAGGAAGUUGAAAGACAUGGAGCAGCUCUGGACUUUUUAGAGAUUUGAAGUAAUACAUGCAUAAAGGCAAACACUACCUAUAAAUCUUAGAAAAUAUGUCUUGCCAGGGUGUUUGAAAGUUUUGGAAGGUUUUUUUUUUGUUUAUAAAUAGCCUUCUGCUGCAAUCUUACAUAUUUUGAAAUUUGUGGUGACUUUUGGUAAACAGUUGUCCCUUUUUUCUUUUUUUACUUCAUAAAAAUGAAAACCUUUAAUUAAAAAUGAUACAUCAUGAAAUAUUUCCCAUUGCCUUUAACUAAGAAAGGAUUUUGAACUGACCAUUGCAUGAAUUUACCAAAGGAAAAGUGCAUUGAGACAUUAGUCAUUUACAGCUUUGUAGCCUCAUGUUCUAAAUCGAUUAGAAAUACUGACCGGUUAUAUAUUGCAGCCAUUAUCUGCAAGAAAGCAAUUUAAGCUUUAAGUAGUGGUUAUGGUGUGAGAAAUUUUUGAGCAGCUAGACAAAAUCCAAAUCUCUCACGGUACGCAAAGCUCAGCCCCUUGUCUGACACUCCGAUAACAUGAAAGUUGCACUUUUUGCGUUAUUUAUUCAAAGCUGUCUAAUUUUGGACAUUACUCAUUCUCUGGAAGCCCUGGGAUAAUUCACUUAGAGACUUUCAUUGCUGUUGGACUGCUUUAGAUCGAAAAAGGAAAACAAAAACCUUGCUAGGUUUGGAUAGCCCAUUGCUCACAGCUGGUCAUUGUUGCCCAAGGUUAGACAAUACAGAAGUGAAAUCAGCGUGGUACGGAAACCCAAGUUUUUGUUUGUCAUCCAGCUUAAAAUGAUUUGACAAAAUAUUUGUGACCCAAAGGUUCCUUGCUCUAUCACUGCCACAAUAAAAGCUGGAAUUGUUAUGUUGGUUUGUGUGCCUUUUAAAAUUGCUACUUUUUGUUUGUUUAUUUUAGAAGUAACAAUAGUGGUCUGUAGAAAGAAAGGUCUGUGUGUUUCGAUGCCAUCUCCCCGUAGUGUAAAUCUGCACCUGAUCUGCCAGCAUUUUUAGUCUUCCCCAUACUUUCUCAUUUACUAUAUACUCUUUCAAUAAUAUCUUAUUUACUUGCUAGGAAAGGGAAGUGACCACUCUGGUUUUUCUCCCCUCCUGCUUAGGACAACAAAUCUCCACUUUAUUAAGCGUUAUGAUUACAUACAAGUAGGGCUUAUUUACUCAGCUGUUUAUUAUGGCAGAUUGACAAUGAAGUUUCAAGUGUUCAGUGAAAUGGCUUUACGAUUGCAGAAAAUUUAAGAUGUUUGUAAGUGGGCUAUAAUGUACAAUUCAUACAAUAAACACAAUAGUAUUGGCUUAACCAGUAUAUUUUUUUUGUUUUGUUUUUUUUCCCUUGCAUAGCAGGUUUUUCUUUUGGAUGGAAAACUUAAUAUUGUUUUAUUAAGCUGAAGUGGUCUGGGUGCCUAGAGUGCUCCUUUAAGUAGGGGGGCCACUAAAAGAGAUGGGAGAAGGGAGGUUUUUCAUAUUAGAUUAAUUAAAUUCAUUUAAAAAGUCUAAUAUUAAUACAAUUUUAGGAAAAAAACUUUUUUUAAAUGAUUUGGGGGAAAAAAGUCAUAUAUGGUUUUAGGCCAAGGGCAUCCUGAAUUUUCGGUUUCGGCCCAGAAUUUUCAUUUCGGUGCAUCCCUACCAUUUUUCCGGCUUCCCACACAUGAAAUUCAAGAAAUAACUGUUCACUUGCUGCCUAUUAUACCCCAUCCCAUGACAGGUGCCUGUCUAACAAUAUAAUCUGUUAUUUAAUUCACCUGUCAGUAUUUUUGGUGUCAUGGUUGAUCAGUUUACACUGAUAACUCUCAAACACGCUGAUCACUCAUGCUUUCUAAGAUGGUUAUAGUCCACCAGCAAUGGACACUAGUAUUGGACAUUCCCUGUAUUUUCUCUUGUUUUCAUCAGAAAUUAAAGGUUUUCUUUUUGGAAGAGCUUUUCCCAAAGAGGGAACUGUUUUUUAAAUGCAGUCUCUUUCAGCAGUUAAUUUAGUCUGCAGUGUCUUCUGCAGUCGGCACAUGGUGUUCUUACGUUUUAUUUUUAUACUGUGAGAGAAUUAAAAAGUCAUAUUAAAGGCAGUAACCUGAUCUGCCUGCUGAGUUAUUUAGUGUUCAUGGGAAACUGAGCAACAUGUUUUUUGGACUGAAGUAUAUAUAUUUUUUUUCUUCUGUCCUUUUUCAGUUGAUUGCUUUUUUCUGUUCUUGUAAUUCAGGUCUGACUGCUUUGCAGGUUUGUAUGCAUCACUUUUCCCUUUGCUCUCUAAUCUCACAAAAAAAACAAAAACCCCAAAACAAUUGCUGCAGAGGUCUUCUCUUGGAAUAGGCUAAGGGAUUGGUUAAGACAGAUCUUUAAAUAACAGCACAGACAAACACAAAGUUUUGCAGGCUCUCCUGAACAUAAUGUGUUCGUAUUUGAUGGCUAUGGCAUCUUGCUGCCCAGUUAAUAUUUAUUAAUAAUAUAUUCAUUACUAUUUAUUAGAUUUAACACUCAUUUCUGCAUCCACUACUACAUUACAGACCUUUUCUGCAUAUUACAAACUUUUUAUGUUCUUUAUACCAUGAGAUGAGAGGCUCUUUAGAAAUUUUUGGAAUGUAUUAACUGGUCCCAUGUGGAGCUUGUCAUGUUAAUGUUAUUUUGUACACCAUAGUAAGUUUAGCUGGGCUUACCACUUGUGAUGUCGCAGCCAAUCAGAGCCUUUGGUAUGAAGCGUAGCCACUGUGCAAGGAUGUAUGUUCUGAAUGUAUAGACUUUUAUUAAAAUGCUUUGUUACAUAGACUUUCUGAUGAGAGAACUACUCUGCUUUGGUCCUUUCUGGGGCAGAAACAUUGUGUUUAUUACCUUUGAUUACUGGUCCUUUGCUGAAGUUUAUGAAAGGUUACUAACACUUGAUCUUCUCUCUUUCAGGAAAAAUAACUCUUUG